CUGCCCAAUGAAUUAUUUUAAUGGCUGCAGUAUCAGUAACUGUACAAAGGUAGCAUAAUAAUUUGUUUUUUAAUUAAAAACUAGAAUGAAAGAUUUAAUGAAAUAUAAACUGUUUCAAUUUUAAUAAUAAUUAAAUUUAUUAUUUAAGUAAAAAAACUUAAAUAAAAUUAAAAGACAAUAAGACCCUAUAGAAUUUAAUUAAAUUUUUUUUAUUAUAAAUAAAUUUUUAAUAUUUAAUAAUUAAAUUUAAUUUUAUUGGGGUAAUAAAAAAAUCAAAUUAAUUUUUUUAUAAUUAAACAAUAAUUUUUGAAUAUAAUAACUUUAAUAUAAAUUAAUAAAAUUAAUUACCUUAGGGAUAACAGCAUAAUUUUUUUUAAAAGAUCAUAUUAAUAAAAAAGAUUAUGACCUCGAUGUUGAAUUAAGAUAAAAAUAAAAUGAAAAAAUUUUAAAAUUUUAGUCUGUUCGACU
rnacentral:rRNA from 1 species